rnacentral:lncRNA from 1 species
CUCUCUUUUCCUCCUGCUCUGGCCACGUAAGAUGUGGCUACUUCCCUUCGCGUUCCACCUCGAUUGAAAAUUUUCUGAGGCCUCUCCGUAGCCAUGCUUCCCGUACAGCUGUGGAACCGUAAGUGAUGUUUUAUCUUCGUUGCUUCAGGGAGUGUUGAUUUGUCUGCCAUUCUACUAUCAGAAAUUCUGUCACGAAAAACAAAUGGAUAUGAAAUCUGAAGAUAAAGGUUUGUAGGGAAAGAAUAAAAGGAUCAUGAAAUGUCAGGGCUGAAAAAUAUCUUAGCAUUCAUCCUAGUGUUCUAUUUACACCAGCCCUAUUUUGGCUCCCAAUCUGAUUCUCUUCCUAUUGCAUCAAACUGAGUUUUAAAGAAGUUUGAAACUAUGCAUUUAAAGACUAUUUGGUGAUUAUGUUAAUCUCCAAUUCUGCCUAUUUUUGAUUAUGUUAAAAUCAGCCAAAGUAUAGAACAUAGAGUUAUACUUAUGCCCAACAUCAUAAUAUGCCUUCAGUUAUUAACAUAUAUUGUAGGUAAGCUUGUUAUUAUUUGAAAUGUAAAUAUUUAUAUGUGUAAUGUGUAAAAGUUUUCAAAUAUGGGUCAUAACAUAUCCAAUGGUUUAUUUGUCUAUGCCACUAAUACAUCUUUGGACACCCAAGUUUAAGUGCAGUACAUUUUGCUGGUUGAUGUACCAAGGAAUGACUUCUAAUUCUGAUGAAAUUUGAACUUCAUAUUGCAAAAAAUAAUCAUCAUUUGCUAGAAAAAAUUAAACCCAUUUAAA